rnacentral:rRNA from 1 species
UACAGAGGUCUCAAGCGUUGUUCGGAAUCACUGGGCGUAAAGGGUGCGUAGGCCGCACGGUAAGUCAGAGGUGAAAUCCCGGAGCUCAACUCCGGAAUUGCCUCCGAUACUGCCGUGCUUGAGGACUGGAGAGGAGAUUGGAAUUCACAGUGGAGCAGUGAAAUGCGUAGAUAUUGUGAGGAACACUAGUGGCGAAAGCGAAUCUCUGGACAGUUCCUGACGCUGAGGCACGAAGGCCAGGGGAGCAAACGGG